AUUAACGCUAGCUGUGCGCCUAACACAUGCAAGUCGAGCGAGAGUUAGAAUUUAGCUUGCUAAAGUCUAACAAAAGCGGCAGACGGGUGAGUAACACGUUGGCAAUCUGCCCUCAACUCAGGGAUAACUCGCCGAAAGGCGAAUUAAUACCGGAUGGUCUGUAGUGUUGAAAUACAUUACAGUAAAGUUUUUUCGGUUGAGGAGGAGCCUGCGUCCUAUCAGCUUGUUGGCGGGGUAAAAGCCCACCAAGGCUAUGACGGGUAGCUGGUCUGAGAGGACGACCAGCCACAAUGGGACUGAGACAAGGCCCAUACUCCUACGGGAGGCAGCAGUGAGGAAUUUUCCGCAAUGGCCUAACGGCUGACGGAGCGACACAGCGUGAAGGACGACGCCUUUCGGGGUGUAAACUUCUUUUCUGAGGGAAUAAGUUCUGAAGUUACCUCAGGAAUAAGCACCGGCUAACUAUGU
rnacentral:rRNA from 1 species